rnacentral:rRNA from 1 species
GUAGGGGGCAAGCGUUAUCCGGAUUUACUGGGUGUAAAGGGAGCGUAGGCGGCAAGGUAAGCCAGAAGUGAAAGCCCGCGGCUCAACUGCGGGACUGCUUUUGGAACUAUCUAGCUAGAUUGCAGGAGAGGUAAGUGGAAUUCCUAGUGUAGCGGUGAAAUGCGUAGAUAUUAGGAGGAACACCAGUGGCGAAGGCGGCUUACUGGACUGUAAAUGACGCUGAGGCUCGAAAGCGUGGGGAGCAAA